rnacentral:rRNA from 1 species
UACGUAGGGGGCUAGCGUUGUCCGGAAUCAUUGGGCGUAAAGAGCGUGUAGGCGGUCCGGUAAGUCCGCUGUGAAAGUCGGGGGCUCAACCCUCGAAUGCCGGUGGAUACUGUCGGGCUAGAGUGCGGAAGAGGCGAGUGGAAUUCCUGGUGUAGCGGUGAAAUGCGCAGAUAUCAGGAGGAACACCUAUUGCGAAGGCAGCUCGCUGGGACGUUACUGACGCUGAUGCGCGAAAGCCAGGGGAGCGAACGGG